rnacentral:sRNA from 1 species
ACCUAGCCCUGAUGGGAACGGCAUCCUUUUUCUGGCUUCUUUAGCCAGGAAAAGAUACAGUGGACGACAGGAAAUAGC